rnacentral:rRNA from 1 species
AACGAACGCUGGCGGCAGGCUUAACACAUGCAAGUCGAACGCCCCGCAAGGGGAGUGGCAGACGGGUGAGUAACGCGUGGGAACGUGCCCUUCGCUUCGGAAUAGCCCCGGGAAACUGGGAGUAAUACCGAAUACGCCGUAUUGGGAAAGAUUUAUCGGCGAAGGAUCGGCCCGCGUUAGAUUAGCUAGUUGGCGGUGUAAUGGACCACCAAGGCUACGAUCUAUAGCUGGUCUGAGAGGAUGAUCAGCCACACUGGGACUGAGACACGGCCCAGACUCCUACGGGAGGAAGCAGUGGGGAAUCUUGGACAAUGGGCGCAAGCCUGAUCCAGCCAUGCCGCGUGAGUGAAGAAGGCCUUAGGGUUGUAAAACUCUUUCGCCGGAGAAGAUAAUGACGGUAUCCGGAGAAGAAGCCCCGGCUAACUUCGUGCCAGCCGCCGCCGUAACAC